CUACGGGAGGCAGCAGUAAGGAAUAUUGCACAAUGGGGGAAACCCUGAUGCAGCAACGCCGCGUGGAGGAUGACGCAUUUCGGUGUGUAAACUCCUUUUAUAUGUCAAGAAAAUGACGGUAGCAUAUGAAUAAGCACCGGCUAACUCCGUGCCAGCAGCCGCGGUAAUACGGAGGGUGCAAGCGUUACUCGGAAUCACUGGGCGUAAAGGACGCGUAGGCGGGUUGGAAAGUCAGGUGUGAAAUCCUACAGCUUAACUGUAGAACUGCACUUGAAACUUCUAAUCUAGAGUAUGGGAGGGGGAGAUGGAAUUAGUGGUGUAGGGGUAAAAUCCGUAGAUAUCACUAGGAAUACCUAAAGCGAAGGCGAUCUCCUGGAACAUUACUGACGCUAAGGCGUGAAAGCGUGGGGAGCAAACAGGAUUAGAUACCCCUGUAGUC
rnacentral:rRNA from 1 species